UUGGAGGGCAAGUCUGGUGCCAGCAGCCGCGGUAAUUCCAGCUCCAAUAGCGUAUAUUAAAGUUGUUGCAGUUAAAAAGCUCGUAGUUGAAUUUCGGGAUCAAUGUUUCGGUCAUGCCGUUGGUAUGUACUGAUAUUAUUGAUUUCUCACCUUCUAAAGAACCGUAAUGCCAUUAAUUUGGUGUCACGGGGAAUUAGGACUGUUACCUUGAAAAAAUUAGAGUGUUUAAAGCAGGCUUACGCUUGAAUACAUUAGCAUGGAAUAAUGAAAUAGGACAUCCGAUUCUAUUUUGUUGGUUUCUAGGAUCGAUGUAAUGAUUAAUAGGGAUAGUUGGGGGCAUUAGUAUUCAAUUGUCAGAGGUGAAAUUCUUGGAUUUAUUGAAGACUAACUACUGCGAAAGCAUUUGCCAAGGAUGUUUUCAUUAAUCAAGAACGAAAGUUAGGGGAUCGAAGACGAUCAGAUACCGUCGUAGUCUUAACCAUAAACUAUGCCGACUAGGGAUCGGAUGAUGUUAAUUUUUUAAUGACUCAUUCGGCGCCUUACGGGAAACCAAAG
rnacentral:rRNA from 1 species